UGCAGCUCAAUGGUAGAGUUCUUGCUUAGCAUGCAUGAGGCCCUGGGUUCAAUUCCUAGCA
rnacentral:tRNA from 1 species